CUACGGGAGGCUCCAGUGGGGAAUAUUGCACAAUGGGCGAAAGCCUGAUGCAGCGACGCCGCGUGGAGGAUGACGGUUUUCGGAUUGUAAACUCCUGUUAAGAGGGAAGAAAGGCAUAUGGUUAAUACUCAUAUGAGAUGACGGUACCUCUAGAGAAAGCUCCGGCUAACUUCGUGCCAGCAGCCGCGGUAAUACGAAGGGAGCGAGCGUUAUUCGGAAUCACUGGGCGUAAAGGGCGUGUAGGCGGUUUAUUAAGUCAGUUGUUAAAGACCAUGGCUUACCCAUGGAACGGCAAUUGAUACUGAUAGACUAAGAGGGCAAGAGAGAGAAGUGGAAUUCUCGGAGUAGCGGUAAAAUGCGUAGAUCUCGAGAGGAACACCGAUGGCGAAGGCAGCUUCUUGGCUUGUACCUGACGCUAAGGCGCAAAAGCGUGGGGAGCAAACAGGAUUAGAUACCCCGGUAGUC
rnacentral:rRNA from 1 species